rnacentral:sRNA from 1 species
CUGAGCCCCAUCCCGCGCCGUCUCCCUCCUCCAGGGCCAAGGAGCGGCCCCCGCGCGCGCGGCCCGCCAGCACCUCUCCGUCCCCGGGCGCGCACGGCCGGCGCGGCGGCCCGGAAGGGAAGAGCUCGUCGCGCAGCCCCGGCCCGCACCCCCGCUCCUGGAGCUCCAGCCGCUCGCCCUCCAAAUCGCGCUCGCGCUCCGCGGAGAAGCGGCCCCGCAGCCCCAGCCGCUCGCCGUCCCCCAAGAAGCCCCUCAGCCGGGACAAGGACGGCGAGGGCCGCGCAAGGCACUCUGAGGCCGAGGCCGCCCGCGCCCGGCGCCGCUCCCGCAGCUACUCGCCCAUCCGCAAGCGGCGCCGGGACUCGCCAAGCUUCAUGGAGCCGCGGCGCAUCACCAGGUCCAGCCUGCUGAGUGGCCUGUGGUCAGCCUGGGGGCCAGGCGGACCCCUCUGCACAGGCUGCCUGGGAGAUGCCCAACGCACGCAAGCGUCCUAUUCCAUACUACCGGCCCAGCCCCUCUUCCUCCUCCAGCUGCUUGAGCAGCGACUACUCCACCCGGAGCCACAGCCGCAGCCCCAGCCCCGGCCACAGCCAUGGGAGCUACAGCAGUCGCAGUCAUGGGACCCGCAGCCGGACACGCAGCCCCUCGAGGACCCCCAGUCCCAGCUACCACAGCCGGAGCAGCUCUGAGAGCGGGGGCUUCUGAGCCCAGACAGACUCAGCUUGGUGCCCCCCUGGCACUGGGAGAGGCGAGGGGCAGGCCCCAGGACCCCGGCGGGGAGGGGGGCUGUACCUCCUUGCCCCCAAGGCUACAAAGAGGUCUCAGGGCCAGUGCACGGGCAGGUGGGACCGGGGAAGACUUUGAGGGUGGGCACCCGGUGGACAAGGAGAAGCCAGAUGUGCUGCUUCUAAGGGUGUCCUCUCCCACCUCCUGUCCAUCCACUGUGCCCGGGGAACAAAGAGCUGUUAUGAACACAGGGAUCUCCCCACCCACCUUCCUGCUAAUGCCAACUCACCAGGCUUGGGACUGCUGCCGGUGGAUGGUACCAGAGUCCACGAUCUUCUCUGUCACUUCACCUUAGCUCAGUGCAGCCAGGGACACCUUGCAAGGUGCCAGCCCUGGGAGCCCCUCUUCCCCACUGCACAGCUCCCUCCACUCCUCUCUUAUCACUGGGCAGACGAGAAGGUGGUACAGCACGCGGGAUCGGAGCUAGACAGAAAGAACAGCCUAACCCUUGGUGCACUCCCAUCCAAGCUGGGGAGCUGCGUCCUUUUGAGCUGGCUGCAGGAGGACCCUGGCUGAGGGCUGGUGGCUGGCCCCACAGCCUCCCCCAAGCUCCUCCACUGACCCAGGAGUGCCUAGACGGGUGGCCUCCAAAAUCCCAGCUGGGGAGCUAGGCACUUCACUCUUGGUCUGACCUCUCCAGGCCAGGCUCUCCUCACCCCAUGCCCUGGGCCAGGUCCUACCAGCCAUGACUUCUGCAUGACAAGAGGUGGGGGGUACAGACCUCAGGUACAUUUGACCCUGAGGUCAAAAGGGGUUCAGGUCAAGAGGUGGGAGAGGAAAGGGGUAGACGGGAGGUGGAAUCUGUAGGAAAGAGAAAAAGCAAAGUCAUUCACUGACUGAGCAGCCCCCGGGGAGUGGAGACGGGUCCCCGGGGAGGGAGCAGGUGACAGGUCAGCAGUGCCCCCAGCCCCACCCAAGAGGAGGGCAGCGUGUGCCUGUGGUCUGGGACGUGGGCUGGAUGGCAGUCACAGGCAUAGGAUAACAUGUGCUUUGGACCUGCCAAGGGAGUCUUGGGGUCUGAUGGGGUCAUGGCCAGCCGAGCCUCUGCAGAGACGGAGGCUACAGCUCUCAGAAGGGAGGGGAGGAAAGAGACUGAGGGCCCUGGCCUGGGGCGUCGAUGGAGGAAGCGGUGGCCCCCAGUCCUCUUCUGCUGCUCCCAGCCCCCUCCUCCUGGGGCCCUCAGGGAUCUCACAAAGUCUUCCUUGGCCCAACCAGGCAGAUGCCCCGGGCUCCAGUGGGGGGAGGGGUCUGGGGUCUGGUCCGGGUUCCCCACUUUCUCUAUGUCCCCCCUCCCUCUUUCUCCGUGGGUGCGGAUAAAAAUUGGACUCGAAUAAAACCCUUGGUGCCCGGAU